AUUCCUCAUUCCCUCACGGAGCUGACAGUUCCAAUGCCAUUCCCCCAUUCCCUCCCGCUCUCUCUUUCCCGGGGCUCUGCUCCUGCAUCGGCGGGAGGUGGCAGCCACAAACGCUGCGUGCCUUUCUAACCUUUCCUUUGUUUCUUUGCGGUGGUUUCCUCCCGUUUGCUACAUGCGGCUUUAAGGGGUUUUUUUUUGUGUUGCCUUUCUCCCGCGGGUGUUGGGGCAGGCGGGCGUGCAGCAGCCCCGGGGCUGUGCCGGCUCCGCACGGUCCCACCGCUGCCCGGGCACUGCGGAGUCACGGAUCUCAUCCCUACGGAGGGAGCACAACAAACACGGCGGCGUUUGUGGCUCCCUUUCCCCGCAGCAGCUGCGGGAUGGCAGCGGCCGGAGUUCUCUUUUUCUUUCCCCUCCCUCUCCUUUUUCCCUGCGGGCAGCGAAGCCCCUCUCCUCCCGCUCCUGACUCCCUCUGUCCAAUGAAGCUUUACGCAUUGAGUUUAAAUGCCUUGGAAACGUAUGGAUAUAGACUUUUUAAAGUUAAUUUUGUUUUCUGACUGAAUUCUAAUUUUUUUUUCUUACCGUUUUGCGGUUGCUGGAGAGAUAGCAAGCAGUAAAUGCAGUGCCUUAUUACCUGACGAAGAUUUCAAGAGAGUCUGAUUUCUUUAACAAGAAUGUUAACAAAUUUGCCAGAUGAAAUCACACGAAAUAGAAUCGCGAGAAGCUGCUCAGCUGUUCAGCACUCUGCCAAAUUACACGUUAUUAUAUUUUUUCAGUAAUCCUGCACUCUAAAAGGGCUACCACGUGAUGGGAAUUUAGUGGAAUUUGCCAGUCACUAAAAAUCCAAGAUCUGUCUCCAAAACCCAUGACUGUUGGAGAAGAGCCCUAUUCUAUUUCUCUAAAGACCACAGAUCUUAUUUAUCCAACAGAAACAGGGCACUUGUCCUUGCUCUGGCAACGCUGAAAUACUUAGAUGCCAUUUUUCCCUUCUCAUUCAUAUUGGGCACAUGACUACCCUAAGUUCAAAUUAAUUCCACAACACCAUCCCAGCCUGACAGGACAACUCUAAAUGACUUCAUGACAGGCCCUAAAGUUUCUAACAUUUUCUUCCUGAGGACCUGAGGACCAUUCUCAUGGGUUCCAACACGACCCUCACCAACACUGAACGAAAGAAAACAACAGCAAAAAUAUCUAUGCAUGCCUGGUUUUGAGCAACAGGAAACUCCAAGUGAUGCAGCACUGCUAUGGACAAUAAGAGUCCCCACAACUGGAAUCAGGGGCCUCCAGUUUAACUCAGAGAUGGGGUAGGUUAACCCUACAGUGUGCAACUGAAUGAAUACAGGCAUGUGCAGAGAGUACUUGUGUUUAUGUGAGCAGAAUCAGUAAAGACAAUUUCUUCUUUCUUUACUCAAGUAUCAGUGGACACUGAAUAUGGUCAGUAUUACAGGCAUAUAUAUUACUAAAGCCACCCAUAGACUCUGCUGCUGCCUAAAAAUCGGUUUGGAAAAGGUUUCCAAAAGCAGGCCAGAUACCAAAAUGAACCUUUUAAACAGAAGAAAAACCUCCAUACAGGAAACAAAGUGUUUGGUUGCCUCUUGCACUUACCACUGAUAAAAUUCAUGUUUGAAAGUUACAUUUCACAUAUAAAUAAUGCCAUUAAGAUAAAAAUUUAUCAGCAUUUUCCUUCCAUAAAGAAUUAUAUUUUAUAUAAUCAACUUCAAAAAAUCAACACUGUAAGACAUCAUUCUCCUUCCAAUGGUAUUUCUAGGGAUAUUUUCUUUGAAAGACUAUUCAAUUCUUGGGGGAAAAAAAGUGGAGAAAAAUUUAGUCUGUAUAGUGGCAGCGAAUUAAGUUCCGCGAAAAUACAGAAAUAAGAAUUUAAGAAUUUAGUUCCACAAAAAUACAGAAAUAAAUUCACAUGGAUGUUGUAAAACAAGCUGAAAUAUUUUAAGCAAACUAUGUGACCUUAAUUCAUAGAAAUAGGCCUAAUGAGAAAAACUCUUCUAGUUAUGCCAGAGAUUUGGGAAUGGAAGAGCAUUCAUCAGUCAUUCUGACGAGGAAAGGAUGGAUAAAGGAAGCAGAUGGAUUC